rnacentral:rRNA from 1 species
CUACGGGUUGCACCAGUGGGGAAUAUUGGGCAAUGGGCGCAAGCCUGACCCAGCAACGCCGCGUGAGGGAAGAAGGUUUUCGGAUUGUAAACCUCUGUCCUUGGGGACGAAGAAGUGACGGUACCCAAGGAGGAAGCUCCGGCUAACUACGUGCCAGCAGCCGCGGUAAUACGUGAGGGAGCAAGCGUUGUCCGGAAUUACUGGGCGUAAGGGGUGCGUAGGCGGCAUAUUAAGUCAGGUGUGAAAUACUCGGGCUCAACCCGGGGGCUGCAUUUGAAACUGAUAUGCUUGAGUGUGAGAGAGGAAAGUGGAAUUCCUAGUGUAGCGGUGGAAUGCGUAGAUAUUAGGAGGAACACCAGUGGCGAAGGCGACUUUCUGGCUCAUAACUGACGCUGAGGCACGAAAGCGUGGGGAGCAAACAGGAUUAGAUACCCUGGUAGUC